GAUAAAUAACAAGAUGACUAAAGAUGGAAAACUCUAUACGGACCAGCCAAUCAUCAAAGGGUCUCAAUUCAGACGACUCCUGCCAAAAGCAGCAUAGAACGAUCCAGCUUAAUUGAUUCCUGUAAGUAAUGAGAACACAUCAACACAAUGCAUGCUAUACAUAUACAAUAGACUAGUCGUUCAAAGUAUAUAAAAACACUGAC
rnacentral:lncRNA from 1 species